UCUCCCGGCUCUGUGAGGCGGGCCGCCGGAACGAGGUGGAGGGAGAUGGACGCCAGGAGGAAGACAACACAAACACAGGAGAGCAAAACCCGAGAAAGAACACGCAAGACAUGGCGGGCUGUGAGUCUGCAAUCCAGUGAGAGAGCAACCAAGAAUCCCUCCGUGUGUACCAGCUCACAGCUUAGAAAACACCAGUGUAUGCGUGGUUUCCUAAAAAGCCAUGAGACUUGCUCUUCAGGUCAUCUGGACAGCGUGCGGUCCAGCGUGAUGUCACCGGCUCGCACCGCCCUUCUGGGUUUUCUGAUUGACGACACAUCAGAAGUUCAUUCUAGAAGCAGCCUUUUCUUCCUCUUGCUUCACCGCUUCCCGAAAACAGCA